rnacentral:rRNA from 1 species
AGGGUUUGAUCAUGGCUCAGGACGAACGCUGGCGGCGCGCCUAACACAUGCAAGUCGAACGGAGUUAUGAUGACAGAAGCCUUCGGGCGGAAGAUAUCAUAACUUAGUGGCGGACGGGUGAGUAACACGUGAGCAACCUGCCUAUCAGAGGGGGAUAACGUUCUGAAAAGAACGCUAAUACCGCAUAACGUGCGAGGGAGACAUCUCUCUUGUACCAAAGGAGCAAUCCGCUGAUAGAUGGGCUCGCGUCCGAUUAGGUAGUUGGUGAGGUAAUGGCUCACCAAGCCGACGAUCGGUAGCCGGACUGAGAGGUUGAACGGCCACAUUGGGACUGAGACACGGCCCAG